CCCGCCAUUACCGUGCUCCAGAAGUUAUUCUUGGACUUGGGUGGAGCUAUCCCUGUGAUAUAUGGAGUGUUGGUUGCAUCUUAUUGGAAUUAUGCUCCGGUGAGGCAUUAUUCCAAACCCAUGAGAAUUUGGAGCACCUAGCGAUGAUGGAAAGGGUCCUUGGGCCACUGCCUCAGCAUAUGCUGAAGAGAGUCAAUCGACAUGGAGAGAAGUAUAUCAGAAGGGGUAGACUGGACUGGCC
rnacentral:misc_RNA from 1 species